rnacentral:rRNA from 1 species
GACGUAGGGCGCGAGCGUUGUCCGGAUUUAUUGGGCGUAAAGAGCUCGUAGGCGGCUCGUUGCGUCGGCUGUGAAAACCCGCAGCUCAACUGUGGGCUUGCAGCUGAUACGGGCGGGCUGGAGUUCGGUAGGGGAGACUGGAAUUCCUGGUGUAGCGGUGAAAUGCGCAGAUAUCAGGAAGAACACCAAUGGCGAAGGUAGCUCUCUGGGACGGUACUGACGCUGAGACGCGAAAGCGUGGGGAGCGAACAGG